GGUACAUUAAGCUGCUGCUGGGGAGAGGGGGUAACAAGCUCCUUUCCCACAUAUACUUCCAGCCGCGGGGGAGGGAGACCGACUGUUUCUGCUCCCAAUACAGAGUCCUGCUGCUGGGGAAAGGAGACUGGGCUCUCUAUUCCCGGUAGGACACUCUGCCGCUGGGGAAUGGAGACUGGGCUCCCAAUUCCCAAUAAAUCAUUCUGCCGCUGGGGAAGGGAGACUGGGCUCCCAAUUCCCGAUAAAUCAUUCUGCCGCUGGGGAAUGGAGACUGGGCUCCCAAUUCCCAAUAACUCAGCCUGCCGCUGGGGAAUGGAG